rnacentral:rRNA from 1 species
GAUGAACGCUAGCUACAGGCUUAACACAUGCAAGUCGCGGGGCAGCAUGGGGGUUGCUUGCAAUCCCCGAUGGCGACCGGCGCACGGGUGAGUAACGCGUAUCCAACCUGCCCUUCACCACGGGAUAACCCGGCGAAAGUCGGACUAAUACCGUAUGUUGUCCAUUGACGGCAUCCGAUUUGGACGAAAGGUUUGGCGGUGAAGGAUGGGGAUGCGUCCGAUUAGCUGGACGGCGGGGUGACGGCCCACCGUGGCGACGAUCGGUAGGGGUUCUGAGAGGAAGGUCCCCCACACUGGAACCGAGACACGGUCCAGACUCCUACGGGAGGCAGCAGUGAGGAAUAUUGGUCAAUGGGCGUAAGCCUGAACCAGCCAAGUAGCGUGCAGGAGGACGGCCCUAUGGGUUGUAAACUGCUUUUAUGCGGGGAUAAAGUGGCCCACGUGUGGGUUUUUGCAGGUACCGCAUGAAUAAGGACCGGCUAAUUCCGUG